GUCUACGGCCAUACCACCCUGAACGCGCCCGAUCUCGUCUGAUCUCGGAAGCUAAGCAGGGUCGGGCCUGGUUAGUACUUGGAUGGGAGAAAUUUGGGGGCAUGGGAUUGAAGGCU
ensembl:rRNA 5S_rRNA 5S ribosomal RNA